UGGUAAGUGUUGAUGGUAUUUCACUGCUGGAAGGAAGGAUACACAGAAUCCAGAGGCAGGAGGUGCCUGUGGAGAUGGGAUUGCUCUCCCAAAGAGAUUUGGCUGCUCCUGCAGGUGGGGAAGCUUUGCCCUUCUCCAGCUGCCUGACAGCACCUGGAAGAGUGAAGGCAUGGUGUGCUGGGCUCCUUACCUUGUCACCUGUGCCUGCUGUUGGAGGAUCCAUCUUCUGUGUGGGUGGCUCAGGGAGCCCUGGCCUCAGGAGCUGCACCAAGGGUGUCAUUCCCAGCUCUGGACAACGGAUGGCUGCCAAAGCUCCCUCAGAAGGGUGAGGCUGGGGAGUGGUAUUCCACAUGGAGCUGCUGCUUUGUGGCUCACCUUGGGGCUCCCAGCUCUGCACAGAUCCAUCCCCUCUGCUGUGGUGAGAUCCUGAUUGGGGCUGCAGCCAGGAUGGUCCCCUCCUGCCUCGGGAGAAUAUCCACAGCUUAAUUGUCAGCUCUGUGCUCAAGGGCAGGAAAAAUCACCAAACUCCUCCCAUCUUUGCCAAAAGCUUUGGUGUUUGGGCAGCCAAAGGCAAGAGGCCUCAGCACCAGGGCUCUGCUGGAGGGCUCUGGUCCUGCCCACGCUGUGGGUGAGCCAGGGCUGGCACAGGGAAUGGUGCAGGUGCAGGUCUGGCAGUGGAGCUGCUGCCCUUUGGAGCCAUUUUAAAGGCUGUCCUUGCUGGAGCACCCUGGUCCCUGCCAUCCCCUGGGACACAGAGGGAGCCCUGUCCCAAGUGGCUUUGGCACCUUGGCAGGAAUGUGGCAGCAGCCCCAGAGCAGCUGGAGGAGAAAACCUCCCAGCAGAGACAGAUUGCAAUGGAGGCCAGAGUUGUGUUUGGAGCAGGGAGUGCUGAGAGCUGCAUCUGCCUGUGCUGCCACAGCCUGAGCACAGCCUGGGAACAGCCUGGGAACGGGACUGGGGCAAUUUCUGAUGCCCAGUGAAAGAACACAAACUCAGCCCUUCAGCCUGACAGUCCCUCCACUGAGAGCUCAGCACACAUCCUCAGAGGUAAGUCCAGCAUCUGAAGGAAAAAAAAAAUCACAGUAGAAAAAGCACCAGCAGGGAAGGGACAAGAGGAUCCCUGUGGGAUGAGGCUGGAGAGAGCGAGCAGAGGAGCAGCCUCGGGCUGGAGAAGGGCAAAGGGACCAACAUGGUGUCACCAGGGCACCUGUGAGGAGCAGAAUGGACACCUGGAGGCCACAUGGAGGAAAGGGAUGCACAUCCCUGUCUUCAGCACACCUCCAGUGGGACCUACCUGUGAAAGCUUUCCACCACUUGUGCACUUGCAGCUGGAUCCUGAAAAACUCCAAACUCCAUCCCACUGAUUUCCAGGUAUCUCUGAGGGCUCCUGCCUGGGAUUCAGUAUCUGUGGGGGAAGAUUGCCUUGGCUGUAAUGCUGCUGAUGGAUGAUGGCCUCAGGCUGGGCAGGAGGGAAGGGAUUUGGGGUGGCUGGGACAUAGCUGGCAGCUGUGUGGGAGCUCUGAACCGGGAAUUGCUGCGUGAGCCCCUCUGCAAACAGCCUGUGCCUCCAUUCCCAGGUAAUGCCAGCUGCUCCUUGUGCUCCUUCCGGGCUCUUGGUGCUCUGUGUGGGCUGGGGCAUUUCCACGUGCCUGCUCAGAGCAGCCCCUGGCCCAGGAGCCACGGUGCAGGCACAGCUCCUCCUGCAGAUCCCACAGACACGAGGGGCUGCUGCCUUCAGGAGCUUCUGGCUCCUCCUGCCCUGCGCUCCCAGCCCGCUGGGACACCCUGAGGGAACACCAAGGAGCACGGCUGGCAGCGAGCAGGAGACACCGAGGCCUCUGGGCCCAGAAACAGCCCCGGCCCCAGCAGCCACCGUCACUUUGAGCUGGCAACGCUCACCUGCAGGAAACGCCCCCUGCCACUCUCCAGAGGAACCCUCAGGAGCUGUCUGGUUCACUUCUUCCUGGGGAAACAAAGGGACAUUGUGUGAGCACAUUUACAUCUGCUGGGUAAAUCCUGGAAAGGGCAGAACAAUCAGGGUCAUGGGGAAGAGUUUGGUGCUGACAGGUGAGUGCCAGCCAGUUCUGCCCUAGAGCCAUUGCAGGGGCUGGUGUGUAAAGCAGCAUUCACAGAAGGGAAGGAGCUGCAUUUGUAGAGGAGCUCUCUUACUGGCAGCAGUCAUUCCCAUCCCACACAGGACUUUGGAGCAAUUUGGGAUUGGCUCAGGUGAUUGGAGCAGGGUGCUGACAAGGCCAAAAUUCUGUGAUCAAUGCGCAGCUGGGCCGGUCACUCCUCAGCAUUUAACUCGAUGAUCCUCACAGCUCUGGAAAUAAAGAGCAAAGAGUUUUCA